rnacentral:rRNA from 1 species
CAAGUCGAACGAGAAAGCCCGCAAGGGUGAGUAAAGUGGCGUACGGGUGAGUAACACGUGGAUAAUCUACCCUCUAGUGGGGAAUACCGCUGGGAAACCGGCGACAAUACCGCAUAAGCUCGAGAGAGGAAAGCAGCAAUGCGCUGGAGGAGGAGUCCGCGGCUGAUUAGCUAGUCGGUGAGGUAAUGGCUCACCAAGGCAAAGAUCAGUAGCCGGCCUGAGAGGGCACACGGCCACACUGGCACUGAAACACGGGCCAGACUCCUACGGGAGGCAGCAGUGGGGAAUCUUGCACAAUGGGGGAAACCCUGAUGCAGCGACGCCGCGUGAGCGAUGAAGCCCUUCGGGGUGUAAAGCUCUUUCGGCAGGGAAGAUGAUGACGGUACCUGCAGAAGCAGCUGCGGCUAACUACGUGCCAGCAGCCGCGGUAAUACGUAGGCAGCAAGCGUUGUUCGGAGUUACUGGGCGUAAAGGGUGUGUAGGCGGUUGGAUAAGUGUGGUGUGAAAUCUCCCGGCUCAACUGGGAGGGUGCGCUACAAAACUGUCUGACUAGAUUGUGGGAUGGGUAAGUGGAAUUCCU